rnacentral:tRNA from 1 species
AGCCCCGGGGUGUGUAGACAUAUUAGGUUGCAAACCUAAAGAAGCAGGUUAGCGCCUGCCGGGGCUU